rnacentral:tRNA from 1 species
UGCCGGUGUGGCAGAACGGUUAAUGCCUUCGCCUGCAAAGCGAAUGUCUGGGGGUUCGACUCCACCCGCCGGCGU